rnacentral:rRNA from 1 species
AUUGAACGCUGGCGGCAGGCUUAACACAUGCAAGUCGAGCGGGGGAAGGUAGCUUGCUACCGGACCUAGCGGCGGACGGGUGAGUAAUGCUUAGGAAUCUGCCUAUUAGUGGGGGACAACAUCUCGAAAGGGAUGAUAAUACCGCAUACGUCCUAAGGGAGAAAGAAGGGGAUCUUCGGACCUUGCGCUAAUAGAUGAGCCUAAGUCGGAUUAGCUAGUUGGUGGGGUAAAGGCCUACCAAGGCGACGAUCUGUAGCGGGUCUGAGAGGAUGAUCCGCCACACUGGGACUGAGACACGGCCCAGACUCCUACGGGAGGCAGCAGUGGGGAAUAUUGGACAAUGGGGGGAACCCUGAUCCAGCCAUGCCGCGUGUGUGAAGAAGGCCUUAUGGUUGUAAAGCACUUUAAGCGAGGAGGAGGCUACUUUAGUUAAUACCUAGAGAUAGUGGACGUUACUCGCAGAAUAAGCACCGGCUAACUCUGUGCCAGCAGCCGCCGUAA